rnacentral:rRNA from 1 species
AUCUGUUUGAUCCUGCCAGUAGUCUUAUGCUUGUCUCAGAGAUUAAGCCAUGCAUGUCUAAGUACAUACCUUUAAAUGGUGAAACCGCGAAUGGCUUGUUAAAUCAGCUAUGAUUCCUUGGAUCGUAAAUAAUACAUGGAUAACUGUAGUAAUUCUACAGUUAAUACAUGCCACUAUGUCCUGGUCCGCGAGGGAAUGGGUGGAUUUAUUAGAACAACCAACCGGGGGUGGCUUCGGUCGUCUCUGUUGCAUUCUGUGAUGGCUCCGGAUAACUUCACUGAUCGCAGUCGGCCUUGUGCCGGCGACGAAUCUUUCAAAUGUCUGCCCUAUCAAUCUUCGAUGUUAGGUGACCUGUCUACCAUGGUGCUAACGGGUCACGGGGAAUCAAGGUUCGAUCCGGAGAGGAGGCUAGAGAAACGGCUACCACCUUCAAGGAAGGCAGCAGGCACGCAAAUUACCCGAUCCCGGCACGGGGAGGUAUUGACAAAAAAUGCGGAUACGGGGCUCACUUGAGGCUCCGUAACUUGAGUGAGUACAAUUGAAAUCCUUUAACGAAGACCAACUGGAGGGCAAGUCUGGUGCUAACAGCCGCGGUAACUCCAGCUCCAGAAGCGUAUAUUAAAGUUGUUGCAGCUGUGUUGCAUGGCUACAUGUCGUCGCUCGUGGAUCUGGCCUGGUUAGUACCGGGUUGAGCUUGCCAGUCGGUCUCGUGAUUGUGCUUUUUUUCUGCUGUGUCUGUUUACAAGUGUCAGCGUGGCUGGUGGGCUUGCCUGCUAGUCUGUUGGCAUGCCACUUGGUGCCUUUAAUCGGGUGUCGAAGGCGAACAGCACGUUUACUUUGAACAGAUUUGAGUGCUCAGACCAGGUCUUUGUACCUAAAAAUUCUUGCAUGGAAUAGGACUUCGGUUCUAUUUCGUUAGUUUUCGGAUCCGAAGUAAUGGUCAGGAGGAACAGACGGGGGCAUUUGCAUGGUGGUGUUAGAGGUGAAAUUCUUGGAUUGCCACCAGACAAACAACAGCGAAAGCAUUUGGCAGGGAUGUUUUCAUUGAUAUUGAGCAAAAGUCAGAGGUUCGAAUACGAUUAGAUACCGUCCUAGUUCUGAGCAUAAACGAUACCAACUGACGAUCCGUGGUGUUUCUUUAUGUGUCCCCACAGCCAAUCCCCGGGAAACCCUUAAGUCUUUCGGCUUCGAGGGCAGUACGGUUGCAAAUCUGAAACUUAAAGGAAUGACGGAAGGGCACCACCGGGAGUGGAGCCUGCGGCUUAAUUGGACUCAACACGGGAAAACUCACCCGGCCCGGAACUGUGAGGAUUGACAGGUUGAUAGCUCUUUCUUGAUUCGGUGGUUGGUGGUGCAUGGCCGUUCUUAGUUGAUGGAGCGGUUUGUCUGUUAAUUUCGAUAAAGAGCGAGACUCUGGCCUGCUAAAUAGUAUGCUUGUCCUCUUUGCUCAUGCAGGUUGCGUUGUCCAUUGACUCUUCGUGAGGUAGUGGUUACGUUGACCGUCAGGUGCGGCGCAGGUACUUAUUUCUCAGAGGGACAAGCGGCAUUCAGUCGCACGAAAUUGAGCAAUAACAGGUCUGUGAUGCCCUCAGGUGUCUGGGAACGCACGUGCGCUACAAUGACAG